AACCUUACCUACCCUUGACAUGGUCGGAAUCCCGCUGAGAGGUGGGAGUGCUCGAAAGAGAACCGGCGCACAGGUGCUGCAUGGCUGUCGUCAGCUCGUGUCGUGAGAUGUUGGGUUAAGUCCCGCAACGAGCGCAACCCUUGUCCUUAGUUGCUACGCAAGAGCACUCUAAGGAGACUGCCGGUGACAAACCGGAGGAAGGUGGGGAUGACGUCAAGUCCUCAUGGCCCUUAUGGGUAGGGCUUCACACGUCAUACAAUGGUCGGAACAGAGGGUCGCCAACCCGCGAGGGGGAGCUAAUCCCAGAAAACCGAUCGUAGUCCGGAUCGCACUCUGCAACUCGAGUGCGUGAAGCUGGAAUCGCUAGUAAUCGCGGAUC
rnacentral:rRNA from 1 species